rnacentral:rRNA from 1 species
AUGGCGCCGACGGAGGUUGAGCUGCCGGCCCUGGCGGCCUCAAGUGCAGACGGCCAAAUCUGUGUUGACGGCACCGCUCCAGAGCCGGCCAGUGCAUACAAGUCAAUGUUCAGAGCACUCUAUAGAGCAAGUGGAUCCAAAAACUCCGGGGUGGACGCAAAGAGUGCAUGUUGGCGCUGCCGCACUAGGCUGAGCUCCUUGCCCUCACAGGAUCACAGCCCUGGAGAAAUUAGUCCGCCGAUUUGCAGAAAAACCAGGAGACUUUGUCAUUGUGCAAAGAUUGGAACAAGUUUCGACACACUUGGCGAGGCGUACGAUUUUUACAAUUUAUAUUCGUGGGCGAAACGAUUGGGUAUUAGGUAUGGGAAGAGCAGGCUAAAUGUGGACCGGGCAAAAUGCAUGCAAAAGAUAGUCUGUGGGUGCGCGGUAUGA